UAGGGAAUCUUCCGCAAUGGACGCAAGUCUGACGGAGCAACGCCGCGUGAGUGAAGAAGGAUUUCGGUUCGUAAAACUCUGUUGUUAGAGAAGAACAGCGCAUAGAGUAACUGUUAUGCGUGUGACGGUAUCUAACCAGAAAGCCACGGCUAACUACGUGCCAGCAGCCGCGGUAAUACGUAGGUGGCAAGCGUUGUCCGGAUUUAUUGGGCGUAAAGCGAGCGCAGGCGGUCAAUUAAGUCUGAUGUGAAAGCCCCCGGCUCAACCGGGGAGGGUCAUUGGAAACUGGUUGACUUGAGUGCAGAAGAGGAGAGUGGAAUUCCAUGUGUAGCGGUGAAAUGCGUAGAUAUUAGGAGGAAUACCGGUGGCGAAGGCGACUUUCUGGCCAUAACCUGACGCUGAGGUACGAAAGCGUGGGUAGCAAACAGG
rnacentral:rRNA from 1 species